AUUUCAGGCCUGUUUCCCUUUUUCUCCCUUCCCUGAAAGGGCCUCUGGUCUUUCCCAAGCUGCCUGAGUAGAAGGAAACACACAGCUCCCCCAGAGCAGAGAGGCCCGCGAGAGGGAAAGCUGGCCCAGGCCCAGGGCAGGCUCGCCUCUGACUCUGCAGGGACAUUAUUCCCUCCCAGCCAGCAGGGAACUUCUGGAACUUCUAAACAGCACAUCCUCGAGCCAGCCCAGGCCCCCACAGCAUCCUGCACCCCAGGUUUACAAGCUUUUUAAUGAAAUCAGAGCACCACAGCCAGCUCUAGCCCAGAGGGAAAGUAAGAGGAUGUUUCUGCAGCAGCUGUCCUUUCUCCUGUAACUACUAAACUGUCGCCCCUCACUAAAGAGGAUGGCUUUGCCUAUGCUGUCCCCACCCCUUGAAGCGAGCUUCCUCCUCUAUUGGGAUAGGAAGAUAACUUUGGCAGCAGAAUGGGAAGAAGAUUGGAUGGGAGAGAGAUCAAAGGCUGGGAGAUUCUAAGAGGCUGUUGCAGUAUAGUCGAGGUUUGUCUGCCAGUGGAGUCCAUGUUUCCACCACUGUCCUACAUGGCCUCUCCUCACGAAUGGCUCCAACCUCCUGGGUGCGAUGGAUGAAGCCGGGUGCAGAGAUGGAAAGAGCAGCCCAACUUUCCUAACUGGAGGACUGAAGCGAGAGCUCUCACUGUCGGCCUAGUGUGGAUUGACUCCUUUCCACCACAUUCCCCAACCAAGGACAGUCUAUACCAAGCUCACAGCACUGAGGCGCUGGGGGAGGGCCAGCCCACACCUAGCCCCGUCAAUCUUGGUGGCAUGGACUCCCUCCUAAAGCUUUCUCAGGAGGCCCCAUUUCCUACUGCAGCGGGGCAAGAAUUCAGGAGGAGCCCACUCAAAGGGGAGACAGAGGCAGUGCUCCCUGUGAGCAGCUCUUCCUCCUCAGAGCUGUCAUGGACAAUUGGAGAGAAAAACCGGGACAUUCUCCCCAACCAGGAUAUUUUGUAUGCUUUGCACUUACUGCUGCGUUCCCUUCAUCUAAAAGCUCUAAAAUUUCAAAUAAAAAGGUACAAUGAAAGCA
ensembl:lncRNA novel transcript